rnacentral:rRNA from 1 species
GAUGGGAUUAGCUAGUAGGUGGGGUAACGGCUCACCUAGGCGACGAUCCCUAGCUGGUCUGAGAGGAUGACCAGCCACACUGGAACUGAGACACGGUCCAGACUCCUACGGGAGGCAGCAGUGGGGAAUAUUGCACAAUGGGCGCAAGCCUGAUGCAGCCAUGCCGCGUGUAUGAAGAAGGCCUUCGGGUUGUAAAGUACUUUCAGCGGGGAGGAAGGUGUUGUGGUUAAUAACCACAGCA